GAUUACAGGCGUGAGCCACCGUGCCCAGCCAGCUGUGAGUUUUGAGAAAUUAAAUUUUUUAUACUGAAUUAGCCUCUUGGAAGUAUCGAAAGCAGAUGAACAAUGUUAGUUUCUGCCUUCAUGGGCAUUGCCUUUGUUUUGUCCACCAGAGAAAGAUCAGUUCAUGGUUCACUCCUGUAUUAGGCCGUUCUUGCAUUGCUAUAAAUAAAUGCCUGAGACUGGGUAGUUUAUAAGAAAAGAGGUUUAAUUGGUUCACAGUUCUGCAGGCUGUACAAGCAUGGCAUCUGACAUCACUCAGCUUCUGGGAGGCCUCAGGGACCUUUUACUCAUGGCGGAAAGUGAAGCAGGAGCAGGCAUCGCACAUCACAGAGUGAACAAGAGAGUGAGUGCAGGGAGGAGGUGCCACACUUUACAACAACCUGAUCUGUAAGCACUCACUAUGGAGAGGACAGCACCAAGCCAUGAGGGAUCCGCCCCAUAACCCCAACACCCCACUAGGCCCCACCUACAACACUGGGGAUUAUAUUUCCAUGAGAUUUGAGUGGGGACAAAUUUCAAAACUACAUCAACUGUUUUGGUCCCAUAAGAACAAAAUCUUUAGACAACAUCCUUGAGCUUUUGCCUGAUUUUCAUUCAUCCUGCCAGCCCUUUCUAACAUGGCAUCUGUUUGCCAGAUGCCUGGGCUCAAACAAUCUGUCCACUGUAGCCUCGAAAAGUGCUGGGAUUAUACGCAUGAGCCACCGUGUCCAGCUUUAUAUGGAUUUUUAAAAGAACAGAGGCCAGGGGCAGUGGCUCAUGCCUGUAAUCCCAGCACUUUGGGAGGCUGAGGCGGUUGGAUCACCUGAGGUCAGGAGUUCGAGACCAGUCUGGCCAACAUGGUGAAACUCCAUCUCUACCAAAAAAUACAAAAAAAAAAAAAAAAUUGGCCAGACUUGGUGGAGCGCACCUGUAGUCCAAACUCCUUGGGAGGCUCAGGCAGGAGAAUCACUUGAACUUGAGUGGCAGAGGUUCCAGUGAGCAGAGAUCUCAACACUGCACUCCUGCCUGAGCAACAGAGUUAGACUCCAUCUGCCCCCCUCAUCACCACACCCAAAAAAAGGCCGAGCAUGGUGGCACAUGCCUGUAAUCCCAGCACUUUGGGAGGCUGAGGUGGGUGGAUCACCUGAGGUCAGGAGUUUGAGACCAGCCUGGCCAACAUGGUAAAACCCCAUCUCUACCAAAAAAUACAAAAAAAAAAAUUGGGCCAGGCUUGAUGGAGCGCACCUGUAGUCCAAACUUCUCGGGAGGCUCAGACAGGAGAAUCACUUCAACUUGGGAGGCAGAGGUUGUAGUGAGCCUAGAUCUCACCACUGCACUCCUGCCUGAGCGACAGAGGGAGACUCCAUCCCCCCCACAACAAAAAGGCCAGGCAUGGUGGCACAUGCCUGUAGUCCCAGCACUUUGGGAGACCGAGGCGGGCACUUCACCUGAGGUUAGGGGUUCAAGACAAACCUGGCCAACAUGGUGAAACCCAGUCUCUACUAAAAAUACAAAAAUUAGCCAGGCACAGUGGCGGGCUCCUGUAAUCCCAGUUAGUCGGGAGGCUGAGGCUGGAAAAUCGCUUGAACCCAAGAGGCAGAGAUUGCGGUGAGCCAAGAUCGUGCCACUGCACUCCUGCCUGGGCAACAGAGCCCAGACUCCAUCUCAAAAAAAAAAAAAAAAAAAAAAAAGGAAAAAAUAGAAAAGUUUGUGAAAAUAGAAAUAAAAGAAAAAAAUAUAAACUUCUCAUUGUAAGAUCCACCAAGGUCAAGACACUUUCGUAAGCAAUGAUACUAGCCAUUUAUGUAUGUAUGUAUGUCUUUUGCUCACAGCAAUUACAUACUAGCCAUUUCAUCCAUCCCCUAAGAAGUGGAGGUCCUGGGAAUUUAACCACAUCAAUGAAAUCUUUUUUACAUUAUUAACUGAAGAGAAAUGGUUGCCCUUUACAGACUUUUUAAAAUUAGGAAACAAAAAAGUGACAGAAGAAGCUAAAUCCCGACUGUAAGGUGGAUGCCUAAUGGUUUCCCAUUGAAACUCUCAAAAUUGCCCUUGUUUGAUGAGAGGCAUGAGCAGAAGCAUUACCGUGGUAGAAAAGGACUCUCUGGUGAAGCUUUCCUGGGCAUUUUGCUGCUAAAGCUUUGGCCUUCUCAAAACAUUCUCAUAAUAAGCAGGUGUUGGCCAGGCACGGUAGCUCACACCUGCAAUCCCAGCACUCUGGGAGGCCGAGACGGGUGGAUCACGAGGUCAGCAGUUCGAGACAAGCCUGAUCAACAUGGUGAAACCUCGUUUCUACUAAAAAUACAAAACUUAGCCAGGCAUGGUGGUGCGUGCCUGUAAUCCCAGCUACUCAGGAGGCUGAGGCAGGAGAACAGCUUGAACCUGGGAGGCAGAGGUUGCAGUGAGCCAAGAUUGCACCACUGCAGUCCAGCCUGGGUGACAG